CAGCAGCCGCGGGAAUACGUAGGUGGCAAGCGUUGUCCGGAAUUAUUGGGCGUAAGGGGCUCGCAGGCGGUUUCUUAAGUCCGAUGUGAAAGCCCCCGGCUCAACCGGGGAGGGUCAUUGGAAACUGGGAAACUUGAGUGCAGAAGAGGAGAGUGGAAUUCCACGUGUAGCGGUGAAAUGCGUAGAGAUGUGGAGGAACACCAGUGGCGAAGGCGACUCUCUGGUCUGUAACUGACGCUGAGGAGCGAAAGCGUGGGGAGCGAACAGGAUUAGAUACCCCGGUAGUCCCUGUCUCUUAUAC
rnacentral:rRNA from 1 species